UACGGAGGGUGCGAGCGUUGUCCGGAAUCACUGGGCGUAAAGGGCGCGUAGGCGGCGCGGUAAGUCCGUGGUGAAAGCCCGAGGCUCAACUUCGGGUCGGCCAUGGAUACUCCUGGGCUCGAGCACUGUAGAGGCAGGUGGAAUUCCGGGUGUAGCGGUGGAAUGCGUAGAGAUCCGGAAGAACACCGGUGGCGAAGGCGGCCUGCUGGGCAGUAGCUGACGCUGAGGCGCGACAGCGUGGGGAGCAAACAGG
rnacentral:rRNA from 1 species